AGAACAACACCAAAAAUGCAACAGGAGCGUAAUAUGUAAGAAACUGCCUACGCAACCUACUGAUGGAAAAUGCAACAGACUCAAAGAACUAUGAUGACUGAAGCACGACACACCAGUGGCGAGGUAUCACCUCCUCCACCCUUCUGCUCUUUCAAUGCACAACAUGAGGAAUGGAUGAAGUACUGCCAGCAACCCGAGAAGCAAUUUGAAACCUAAAACAUACCAGCUCUGCAGAAGAUUCAAGAGUUUGACAACAAGACCACAACCCACAAUAUCAAGAUCUGUUAGCAGCCAUCACCAAGGCAGAUUUUUUUGGUCUGCUUGGUUAUACUUUCUGAACUGUUUGCACUAGGUGAGGCCAUCUAUCAUCAACUUCAGUGCAAAGAUAUAGAUUUUGCACAAUCAACAUUGCCAGCAAUCUCAAAAGCAAACUGCUGGCAAUCAGAAAAAAUGUUAUUGAUACUUUCACCCAGCUUUUCUUAGAAGCCAAGGAAUUAGCUUCAGCCAAUGGAGCUGAAAUCAAGCAAUAAUGCACAUUUAACAAGCAAGCACUUUGUGCAAAUCAGGAUACUGGUGAUGAUGCUGAGUGUUACUACAAAGUGUCUGUGUUCAUACCCUCUCUGCAUGCCUUCAUUAGUUCACUAUAGUAUCAGUUCAUGACACAUUUGUGAACUUUUUAAUAGCUUUAACUGUCUUCUACCAUGAAACACUGAAGACACAGGUAUCACUGAUGGAGUUACAAAACUCCAUUUAUUUUAUGCUUCAAAUGCAUUAGUCACCGAUUUAACAAUGACAAUGGCCGAGUUGAAACUCUUUCAUCAACAUCUGAGUCAACCAGAGCAGCUGCCUCAAUAUGCAAUGGAAGUUUUGUCUUCUGGGACAGCCAAAUCUAUCCUAAAGUGUUUCAGUUUCUACAGCUCUUAGCAAUGCUAACAGUGACAAUGGCCGCAAAUGAGCAUAGUUUCACCACCUUUAAGAGUAUCAAGACAUACUUAAGGAAGACAACUGGUGAGGCAUGUCUGAAUUGACUCACCAUAAUGACAAUUCAUCAAGAAGAA